rnacentral:rRNA from 1 species
AUGGCCUUGAACGAUGGCCUCGCCAGGUUCAGGCUGCAGCAGGAGAGGAAUCAGACGAUUCUGUCCACCAUCGCCGCAACCAAAACCUCUGCAUCAUCAUCCACCAAUCCGUCCCGGCACCGGCAGCAACCCGCUCCAACUCCAAGGCCGGCGGCUAAGCCAUCACCGUCCGCGCCUGCUACUCUCAGAUUCUCCGACGACACGGCGCGGCUACAGAAGAUCAACGAAGUGAGGACGUCCACCGUCGGAUCACAGCUCAAAAAGGUAAUCCACCUGCUCGAGGCGACGAGGGAAGCUCUUACGUCGCGUCAGAUCAAGGAACAGAUCUACGUUGACAUCGACGGCAACAACGACGUCGCCGAGAGCCUGAGGAACAACGCCAAGGUGCGCUUCGACGGGCGGCGCUACUCCUACAAGCCCACGCACGACCUGAAGGCCAAAGGCGAGCUGCUGACACUGAUCAAGAGCUUGCCGGACGGUCUCCCGGUUUCGGAGGUGAAGGACGCCUAUCCAGCCGUGCACGACGACCUGCAGGCCCUGAAAUCUUCGGGUGAUAUAUAUCUGCUACCGGGCGAGGGAGGCAUCAUCGCGUACCCGAACGACCCGAGGUCGAGGAUGGAGGUGGACACCGAGCUCAAGAAGCUGUUCCACGACAUCAAGUUGCCGCAGGACAUGCUCGACAUCAAGAAGGAGCUCCGGAGGAACCGCGAAAAGCCGGCCACCGAUACUAUGAAGCGGCGGGCGGCUGAGCAGGUCCAUGGUCAUCAGCCGAAGCCGAAGAAGGCCAGGAAGAAGUCGCGCGUGAUCACCAGCAGGACCAAGCUCACCAACUCUCAUCUCCCGUGGCUCUUGGACCUGCCUGUGGACUCCAAAGAUAUCAUCUAG